rnacentral:rRNA from 1 species
AUUGAACGCUUGCGGCAUGCCUUACACAUGCAAGUCGAACGGUAACGGGUCCUUCGGGAUGCCGACGAGUGGCGAACGGGUGAGUAAUAUACCGGAACGUGCCCAGUAGUGGGGGAUAACUGCUCGAAAGAGCAGCUAAUACCGCAUACGACCUGAGGGUGAAAGGGGGGGAUCGCAAGACCUCUCGCUAUUGGAGCGGCCGAUAUCAGAUUAGCUAGUUGGUGGGGUAAAGGCCUACCAAGGCAACGAUCUGUAGUUGGUCUGAGAGGACGACCAGCCACACUGGGACUGGGACACGGCCCAGACUCCUACGGGAGGCAGCAGUGGGGAAUUUUGGACAAUGGGCGCAAGCCUGAUCCAGCAAUGCCGCGUGCAGGAAGAAGGCCUUCGGGUUGUAAACUGCUUUUGUCAGGGAAGAAAUCUUCUGGGCUAAUACCCCGGGAGGAUGACGGUACCUGAAGAAUAAGCACCGGCUAACUACGUGCCAGCAGCCGCGGUAAUACGUAGGGUGCGAGCGUUAAUCGGAAUUACUGGGCGUAAAGCGUGCGCAGGCGGCUUUGCAAGACAGAUGUGAAAUCCCCGGGCUCAACCUGGGAACUGCAUUUGUGACUGCAAGGCUAGAGUACGGCAGAGGGGGAUGGAAUUCCGCGUGUAGCAGUGAAAUGCGUAGAUAUGCGGAGGAACACCAAUGGCGAAGGCAAUCCCCUGGGCCUGUACUGACGCUCAUGCACGAAAGCGUGGGGAGCAAAUAGGAUUAGAUACCCUGGUAGUCCACGCCCUAAACGAUGUCAACUGGUUGUUGGACGGCUUGCUGUUCAGUAACGAAGCUAACGCGUGAAGUUGACCGCCUGGGGAGUACGGCCGCAAGGUUGAAACUCAAAGGAAUUGACGGGGACCCGCACAAGCGGUGGAUGAUGUGGCUUAAUUCGAUGCAACGCGAAAAACCUCACCUACCCUUGACAUGUCAAGAAUUCUGCAGAGAUGUGGAAGUGCUCGAAAGAGAACUUGAACACAGGUGCUGCAUGGCCGUCGUCAGCUCGUGUCGUGAGAUGUUGGGUUAAGUCCCGCAACGAGCGCAACCCUUGUCAUUAGUUGCUACGCAAGAGCACUCUAAUGAGACUGCCGGUGACAAACCGGAGGAAGGUGGGGAUGACGUCAGGUCCUCAUGGCCCUUAUGGGUAGGGCUACACACGUCAUACAAUGGCCGGUACAGAGGGCUGCCAACCCGCGAGGGGGAGCCAAUCCCAGAAAACCGGUCGUAGUCCGGAUCGUAGUCUGCAACUCGACUGCGUGAAGUCGGAAUCGCUAGUAAUCGCGGAUCAGCUUGCCGCGGUGAAUACGUUCCCGGGUCU